UACGUAGGGGGCAAGCGUUAUCCGGAAUUAUUGGGCGUAAAGAGUACGUAGGUGGCAACCUAAGCGCAGGGUUUAAGGCAAUGGCUCAACCAUUGUUCGCCCUGCGAACUGGGAUGCUUGAGUGCAGGAGAGGAAAGCGGAAUUCCUAGUGUAGCGGUGAAAUGCGUAGAUAUUAGGAGGAACACCAGUGGCGAAGGCGGUCAACUGGACAGCAACUGACGCUGAGGCGCGAAAGCGUGGGGAGCAAACAGG
rnacentral:rRNA from 1 species